GUACCGGAAGCAGGAAGUAAAUCUGGAUGACGACUUCCUCAUUCAGGAGAGUGAGGAGAAGGGGGCGUGUGAGAGUGGGUGUGGCUUGAUUUCUUGUUUUGUUUUGAUUGUUAGGGACCCAAGCACCUAAUGUUUGGAGCUGUAAUGUGUUAACUAAUGAAUGCUACGUCCCAGUUCUAUACACUAAAAACCAUCACGAAACUCCUCCUCCCUGACGCAAGGCGUUGUGGGCAAUAUUAGCUGAAACAAUGUCCACGGUUCCAAAUCUACCGGAAAUAGUCGACCAUCCGGGUUACCUUUUUAAACAUACUCCGAUUUGGGACGCACUCCUUCUAAUCUCAGAUACUAUUAAGAUGGAUAAUAGGUGAAUUGGGAUGCAGCGUAAGAUAUUUUUCUUCUUCUGUUCUCCUUCUUCUUUAUCUUUGUUAAAACUGAUCAGGCACAACAAACCGUAGGUGGUACAGACAUGAAUGAUGGUGCUAUCGUUAGGUGUUUUACAUUUUGGCCCACAUCUCAUGAAUCAUCCAUCCUACAGUGAAAUUGGUUUUCCAGUCAUUCCUUGGGUUCUCCUACACACAAACAAAAGCCAUAAGAAUCACUUAGCUCCAUCCACUUCAACUUUGAGCUUGUUUUGAACUUGAUUUUGUUGUUGUUGUUGUUGUUGUUGUUGUUGUUUUGCAAACUAGUCCUAGAAUCUUUGUCCUAUUUUUACAAAAUUGCUGUCAGUCUACUACAAGUGAGUGAGAACCUCAAUAAGGAUCAAAAAUAGGUUGGAGUUUUUGUAAACAAUAUCCUCUCCACAUGCCAAUCAAUGCUAAUUUCCUGAUAAACGUAAAUGUUAAAUAUAUUUCUAAGUGUUUUAUAUAUUUAUAAUGGUAGCCAGGCAGAGCCUAUAAUUUACUCAUCCAGCUGUAACUCAUGAAUGGUGGUGUGGAUGUGCAGAAUUCUUGAAAGGCAUAUACAGGACAGAGUUUGGGGGCGUGGUCAUGGAUUGGAAGUGCACAUAUGAAACAAAAUGCACUACAUUACAUUUUCCUAUUCGUACUGACUACUGAAACUAGAUUAUUUAUUGAUUUAUUUUAUUAAAUAAAUUUAUUAUUAUUUAUUAUUAUUAUUGCCGCGCUCACUAACAGGUCCAUAUUCUCCUCAAACACCCGUGAGUAUAUAGUGGUACAGGAGGUGCUACAGGUGAUAUUUAUUCAGAUCUGAGAACAAACAGGUACUGGAAAUUUUUACACAAGCCUCAGAGCAAAUGGUGACAGGUGGGCUUAAAAAAACCAAACAGGUAGUACAGGUGGUGUUUGGAAACACCUGAGUGUGAACACUGUUGAUUAUUUAUUUGUAUUUUUUUAAAGACAGGUGGUACAGUUGAUACUUUACACUUGCAAACACACACAUGUACAGGUGAUCUUUAUAUGCACAUAAGAAUGCCAGAGAACGCUGACGGAUGCUGGAGAACGCCGAAGAACACACAGGCACUGGUGAUCUUUGACCCCUGUGUCUACAGCAAAACGUUCUGCCGAGUGACCAGGUCCUCGUGUGUGCCAUCUUAGUAUUCAUGUCCGUGGACCUGACCGUCUUCCACUCAGCUUUUACUCAGUUUAAGCGUAUUACACAAGAAUAAUAAUCAAAUCUUGAGGUGGAUGGGCCACAAGAGCAGAAGACCAGCAGAAGAUCUUGUUCCAUUCCUGUCAGCCAAGAACAGGAAUCUGAGGCUACAGUGAACACAGGAUCAAAGAUACUGGACAGCUGCAGACUGGCGAAAGACCAGUAAGAGUUCACCAAACAAAGAUCACUAAAUAAGUGAGCAUCGCAGUGAACACACUCCCACUGAAGAUCGUAACUUUCUGAUGUUUUCAGGUUUUGCUUUCAUUUUCCCUGCAUGGUGAUUAAAUGGCACUUUUCUUACAUAAACAUUGAUCAAAGAGGCUGCAAAAUGAUAUAAUGCAAAAAAAAUAAAAUAAAAAUAAAUAAAAAAAAUAGGGACAUAUGUAUAAAUAUUGUAGUAGGAGUAGUAAUUAUUAUUAUUAUUAUUAUUAUUAUUAUUAUUAUUAUUAUUAUCUAACAAUAAAUGUAACAAAAUCCAUGUAUGUUAUAUGUGGUUUGUUAUAUUUAUGUAAUUCUUUACUGUAAUAGCCCUUUUAAUUGAAUAACCCCCAUGAGAAAGCAUAAUAGAGACAAUAAAGUAAGAAUACACCAAGAGAGGGAAUAAUGAGUGAGAAUAAGAGUAAAUAAAAACAAAAUAAUCCAACAUAGUUUAUUUUUAAUCUUCACUCAUGGUGGCCAUUAUAUUACAUUAUAUUUAAUAUUACUUAUUCAGAGUUUUUCCAUUAUUGACUAUUUAUGAAUUAUUUGUAGCUGGUUGGCUUCCACCAGGCAGCAGGUGGCGCUGUCUCACCAUGCAGCUGUAAAGCUUUAUUGACUCACCGUUUGGUUUGAACUCUCACACAGCCAUCCUUUCAAGGCUUUCCAGAAGCACAGGAGCUGAAGAACCCAUGAAUAAAGAUAAAUUAAUAAACAAAAAACAGAACUAGUCACACAAGCUGUCCAGAGGCAAAUAUGUUCCCUGUUUACCCACACUGCUUAAUAAAUGAUGUGUUUUGUGUGUCAAACUGAAAUAAACAGGCCUCAGUGCAGAACAGUACUGCGUGUGUUUUAAGAUGAGGAGGUUUGUAGGAGGGGACAGAAUCCACACAGGCAUGGUUAAUGCAAAUCUGAACUAACAAACAAACCUUAUACAAGAAAUCAACUUAGACAAGAAAGAAAGCGGUGCUGAGUGCUGAGGCAGAAACAAUGACCUUAAAUAAAUAAAACUAGAGCCAUGAAUUAAGCAUCACAGACCAGGAAGUAAUGACCAAAUAAGGACAGUGUUAUAUGACAUUCAUACUGCAGCGCUGUUGAAUUCUGGAUUCUGAUUGGUCAGAAGGUGCUGAUUAAUUUUUUAGAACUGCAGCUCUGACUAAUUCUGACCGCAAGGCAAAUGUGCAGCUGCAUCU